AAGGAAGCUUUUCCCAAUCAAGUAGUUGAGAUUAUAGAUCCCAUUCUACUUCAAGAGAAUGUUAGAGAAGGAAUAAUCACAGACAUCACUCGCAAUGCAAACCGUAUGGGAAAUGAGAGCCACCUUCAUUGUUUGAAUUCAAUAUUCGAAAUAGGACUUACUUGUUCUGCUGAAUCACCGAGUGAGCGGACAGACAUGAGUGAUGUUGUUACCAAGCUUUGUUCUAUUCUAGACAAGCUUCUUCGUCCAACUCGAUUACGACAUGGGAUGCGAACUCCAUACACUGCUCAAUCAGCAGGUAUCUAAGGUGUGGUAUGGAUGAUCUUGGGAGGCUUAGUCUGCCAAAAUGCUUGCUUUUCUCUUAUGUUCACAUUCUGCUUUGAGAAAAGAUAAUGAGUUUUUCCAGUGUAAUUUGGGUUUAUAUU